GUAAACCCAUCUCCCACCACCACCAGGCCACACCCAUAACCCUCACCCCACCCAGUCUAACCACUACCCUCACCUCCUCCUAAAUCCAUACAAAUAAUCCCUCCCCUCCUCCACCGGUGUCCAACACCCCUACCCCUCACCCCACCCUCUAACCACUCCCCCUCCACCUCCAUCGUUCACACCUACCCUCCUCCAUGUUCCCCUCCCCAGUUUUACCACUCUCCUCCCCAUCAACCUCACCAGAAGCCCUUUACAAGUACAAGUCUCCUCCUCCUCCUCCUCCCCAGUUCUAUUCUCCACCCCACCCCACUACUACUACAAAUCCCCUCCUCCUCCUUACCACUACUAGAUACUUCACACUACAUGGAUCUUAAAUCUGAAAGCCAUGGACGGGAAGCUGCACUUCUUGCCUGCAGAUUCACCGAGAAUUAUAAAUGUUCAUCAAUUGUUUAAAGAACCGUCUUUACUUCCAUAGUCAUUAUGCUUUUCUUCUAUUAUUAGACAGUUGUAAGGCAUGUGUUCUACAUGUGUCUGCACUUGUAUGAAUCUUUUGUAAUUUUCAAAGUCUGCUUUAUCAACCUCACCAAAUAAAUCAUUCCUUCCCAUGGGAUUCACUUUU